rnacentral:piRNA from 1 species
UACACAUGGGCUAACUUAGAUCA